rfam:Enterococcus sp. HSIEG1 chromosome, whole genome shotgun sequence.
GUCCGUUGCAAGUUCCCGAAAGGAUUCGCAGCUGCGAAGAUGCCUUGUAACCGAAUCGAAAUUUAGGGGGAAUACAAAAAAUG